UACGUAGGGUGCGAGCGUUGUCCGGAAUUAUUGGGCGUAAAGAGCUUGUAGGCGGUUUGUCGCGUCUGCUGUGAAAAUCCGAGGCUCAACCUCGGACUUGCAGUGGGUACGGGCAGACUAGAGUGUGGUAGGGGAGACUGGAAUUCCUGGUGUAGCGGUGGAAUGCGCAGAUAUCAGGAGGAACACCGAUGGCGAAGGCAGGUCGCUGGGCCAUUACUGACGCUGAGAAGCGAAAGCGUGGGGAGCGAACAGG
rnacentral:rRNA from 1 species